AUUGAACGCUGGCGGCAGGCAUAACACAUGCAAGUCGAGCGGAAACGAGUUAUCUGAACCUUCGGGGAACGAUAACGGCGUCGAGCGGCGGACGGGUGAGUAAGCCUAGGAAAUUGCCCUGAUGUGGGGGAUAACCAUUGGAAACGAUGGCUAAUACCGCAUGAUGCCUACGGGCCAAAGAGGGGGACCUUCGGGCCUCUCGCGUCAGGAUAUGCCUAGGUGGGAUGAGCUAGUUGGUGAGGUAAGGGCUCACCAAGGCGACGAUCCCUAGCUGGUCUGAGAGGAUGAUCAGCCACACUGGAACUGAGACACGGUCCAGACUCCUACGGGAGGCAGCAGUGGGGAAUAUUGCACAAUGGGCGCAAGCCUGAUGCAGCCAUGCCGCGUGUAUGAAGAAGGCCUUCGGGUUGUAAAGUACUUUCAGUCGUGAGGAAGGCGGCGUCGUUAAUAGCGGCGUUGUUUGACGUUAGCGACAGAAGAAGCACCGGCUAACUCCGUGCCAGCAGCCGCGGUAAUACGGAGGGUGCGAGCGUUAAUCGGAAUUACUGGGCGUAAAGCGCAUGCAGGUGGUUUGUUAAGUCAGAUGUGAAAGCCCGGGGCUCAACCUCGGAAUAGCAUUUGAAACUGGCAGACUAGAGUACUGUAGAGGGGGGUAGAAUUUCAGGUGUAGCGGUGAAAUGCGUAGAGAUCUGAAGGAAUACCGGUGGCGAAGGCGGCCCCCUGGACAGAUACUGACACUCAGAUGCGAAAGCGUGGGGAGCAAACAGG
rnacentral:rRNA from 1 species